AGUGGCUGAUUUCUUUCAUAUAACAAUGAUGCACUACAAUGACUGAAUUGGCUCACAACUGGAAGGUUCUUCUGAAUUCUUGUUGACUACUAUUCUUCUACUGGAAGAGGCUGUUGGAGAAUCUUCACAAAGUUACAUCUUGUAUAUUAACUCAAGCCAUUUCUGAACUGGAAAUUUUUCUCAUGGCUACUUAUGCCAUCAUCACCUCAAACUGUACCACUGCAAUUUGUCCUAUGUAGAGUUAUCCUUGAAGAUUAUUUGGAAGCUUCAGCUGGUAUAGAAAGCAGCCUGUAUAAUUAUGGGCAUUUUGAAAUCUGCCCAUGUAAUACUGUUAUUUUGGGAAUUGCCGUGCUGCCAGUUAGCUUCAGAGUGGAAUUCAAGAACCUUUUCUGGAUUGAAUCUGCCUGUUCAAUAAGACCAGGAAGGGAAAACUAGUUAAGACAUCUUCAGAAAUCCUGAGGGUGAGCCUUCUUAGUGAUGUCCCUCCUUCAAUGAUCCAGUCUGAAUCAAAAGCUGGGAGUCCCUAGCAACAGGGUGGGACUUAACAAUUAUGACAGACUCAGUCCUUCAAUCUGAACAGAUGAGUACAACCCAUGCCUGACUGCUGUCUCCACCCACAAUGGAGAACUAGUUAAGACAUCUUCAGAAAUCCUUCUUAGUGAUGUCCCUCCUUCAAUGGAAUAGAUUAUCUUUGUAUAUCCUAUCUACUAAAUGGAAAUAAAUAACUGGCUCCUUA